GUGACGUCAUACUAACGUCAACAGACGAGCUCCAACCCAGGUUAAAACUUUUAUUGGAUAAAUCAAGAUAGCACAGACGAAGAAGCAAGCAUGGAGUUUUCCACGCAGCUAAGAUAUAUUGUAUUGGUGUUUUCUGUAUUGAUAGAAUACAUAACAUGUGCAAACGAUACGUUAGUGAGUUACUAUGGUCAUCCUGAUAUUAAGGCCGAAAGACUUUAUGAUAUGGCGAUGGGAAUAGUUGUUGGUGUUAGUUUCUCCGCUGUGUUCUUGGUUAUUCUGUUGAUGACCUUUGUCUAUUAUCGGAGUAUAAAGGCAUAAACAGUAACGACAUUUUGAUAGAUAGCAAGCUCGUGAAAAUGACAACAAAGGAUUGCAACUUGAUAGCUAAUAUUCUAUUAUCUACUAAUACUUUAUGUCUCAGAUUAGUGUAACUGAUUUUAAUAUUAUAUACAUUUUGGUUUAUCAUCACAAGUUUACGGAUACUUGUCAAAUUUUGACACGAAAAAAAAGAAAAAAGCAGUUGUUGAUAUGACAAUUUUGAUUCUGAUAUGUGAUCAUGAAUAUUGUACAGUAAACUAUUAAACGAAAUUUCAUGAUAUAA